UUCAUUCUUUCUUUAUUUCCUCCCAUGGGAGAUUGCAUGAACAAUUACAGAAAUUACAUCAUUAGAGUAUUACACAUAUUCAUAUAUACAAAGGAAAAGGAUAUGAGAUUUGUACAUAAAAAGAAAGUUGAGUACAAAAUAAGUACAGGCGAUAUAUAGCUAAUUAGAAUUGAACACCGGAAAUGGUGAAAAACCUGCAGUUAUGUAAGACGUAACUGUCUGUUGUAACAUGCUGCUGCAUCCCUCAGGAAGCGGAAGUUCAGAAGAUGCAAGCCGGGUUCGUCAUAAUGGGAAAGAUUAACUGUGAACAUUCUGGCACCUAAUAGAAAAAGAUAUAGAUCUUGAUGACAGAGACCGCAAAGUUCAGCACUGAGCACAAUAUCAAGGUCAAUUACUGUAUUCCACCAAGCAUCUUGGAUAGCGACUGUUCCUACGCAAGUGGUCGAAACGUGUUCAAAAACGUUUGUAAAAUAUUUGCCACAGAUGAGACAAGAUGUCGGAGGAGAGUGUGGAAAGGACCAUAGCUUAGUGAUAAAUUUGCAAAUCUCUAUUUCAUGAAUGUCAGAUGGAAUUUUCCAGAUAGACUGUGGAGGUCGCCCUGCCGUUAUUUUGUUGAAUUGUUGAAAAGAAGGAUCCGAGAGCAUCCGUUUGUGCCUUGAAUCUAGAUGGAAAUCAAUUAUUGCUGUUUUGACGCUUGUUUUCCACAAACUCUUUGGAGGAAAGUAACCAUCUUGCAGAUAGAGUAGAAAAUGCCGGUGGAGGUUAUACUUAUAGAGUAGAUUAAAAACAUCAUGGAUAAAACCAAAAUGUUUGAGUUCCGGAGACUGUAGAAGAAAUCGGAAGAAGUCCAAGUAAGGAUUCACAAAUGUCAGAUCGAGUAACUUUUGGUAAACCCAUUGCAUGCUUGCAAAUGAAGUGCUGUAAGGUAUUAAGGGCCUGCAGAUCUCGUUGGCAUAAAUCGCUCCAGAGUUCACAUCCGUAUAGGGUGGAAGGGAGAACAAUUCUGUUGUACAAACGCGAUACGGUAUCAGGGUUAAGGUGUUCUUGUAUUUUGAGUGCAUAGUAGGCUUGUCGACCUUUCCUACAUGCGUUGGCAAUUUUCUCAGUAUGAACAAGCUUGGAUUGAAGAAGAAUUCCAAGAUGGUUAUAGGUUUUGGAUAGGUAGACAGGUUCAGUGCCGAGAUACCAUAUGGGGGAAGCAUUGUUUUUUGCUGUUGAGGGGGAGAAUCGAACAACACUAGAUUUGUCGGCAUUAAAUUGGAAUCUCCAGUUUUUGGAGUAGACGAACGCUGUAUUGAGAAUCUUCUGGAUGGCAGAAGGCGAUAACGCAAUGCAGGAGAUGUCAUCUGCGAGAGCAGGAGUAGAACUAGCAAUGUUGUAAAUACCCAUGUUCGGACAUUGAUUUUGAAUUUCAUGAAGCAGGUCGUUGAUGAACACCAGAUAGAGGAAAGUAGAAAGUAUCCCUCCUUGGCGUACUCCUUGAGAGACAGGAAACCAGCUGGAAUUUAUGUGAUUCACUACAACAGAACAGGAGGUAUUUAUAUGACAAUCAUCAAUCAGAGUCCACAGACGACCGGAAAUUCCCAGACGGCUAAGUUUACACAUGAGACCGUGUCUCCACACAGUGUCAAAAGCCUUUUGUGUAUCUAGAAAGGCGACAUAUACGGGACUACCCUGUUCAAUAUUAUGAUGUAUAGUUUCUUGUAGGUUGAAAGAUGCUGUAAGACAACCGAGUUUCUGUUGAAAUCCUUGCUGCUGAAUAUUGGGAAAUUCUACAGUUGAAAGAAUGUGCGACUUUAUUCUGUAUAGUAGCAAUUUCUCAAAAAUCUUCAACAUGCAGGGAAGCAGGGCUAUUGGUCGAUAACUGUUGGGUGAUUUCUUUGGUUUAUUGUGUCCUUUGUGUAUGGGGACGAUAAUGUCUUUUUUCCAAGAAGUUGGGAUUUCGCCAAUUUUUAUAAUUGAAUUAAAUAGGUGUUGUAUGCACAGUUUGAGUCCUGUACCGCCAUAAAUGAUAUGUUCACUCUGUAUUCGAUCUAUACCAGGAGCUUUUCUGCGUUUUAAAUCACUAAUAAUAUUAGAAAUUUCAUCAAUAGUGAUGUCUCCACCCGGAAGAGAUUUUUCGUUCAGAAGUUUGGUCACUGUUUUUAAUUCACUAUAAGAAUUUUCAAUAGAACGGAAGAAAUCGUCGUUGAAGGUUCCAAUGUCUUGUGGAUUGUAAAUAUUUUCGAAGUGUUUCGCGAAACAGUUAGCAAUAUCUACAGGGUUUGAGUAGGAAACGUUUUCGGUUUCUAUUUCUGAAUAGAUUCGAGAACUAAGAGGUCGCUGGCGUUUAAUCAGCCUCCAAAAGAGUCGAACAUCACACUCUGAAGCCUCGUCGAUGUCCUUGAAUACUUUAGUCAUGAAGUCAUCAUGUGCUGAUUGCAAUUCAUUACGAAAAUUACGUUUUGCGCGUUUAUAAUUUCUGUAAGAUUCAUGACACAUGCCGCGAGGUCGACCCUCACUUAACCAAAUGUUGCGUUUUUGUCGUUCUGCAUUAUGUAGUUGUUUCACUUUUGGCGUCCAUUCCGGUUUUAAAUAUGGCUUGUACUUCGAUACAGGGAUGUAUUGGGAUGCAGCAUCAUGCAACAGACAGUUAAGAUCUGAACAAAAAUCAUCAGUAUCAUUUACACACUCAAGAUUUCUUUCUAAUAAUGCAACAGAAUCUUUAGAAACAAAACUUUCAUAUUCUCUGAUUUUACACGAAUCAGCCUUAUGCCAAGCCGGUAAAUAUUGAAAAUGAUUAUCUGCAAUUCGGUUUUUAACAUCGAAGUCUAGAACCAUGAAAACAGGAAGGUGAUCUGAUGUACAACUAUGUGAACCUUCCUCAAAAACAUGAUACAGUUCAACAUAUUUACAAAGAGAAUUGCUACAAAAAAUAAAAUCAAGUGUUGACUUUGUUUGGAUAAAAGUAUACUGUGAACCAGUUGAUUCAAAAUCGACUCGGGGACUUCCUAUGUAAUUACGCAUGAUAAAGUCUUUAAGCAAACUCGACUUGUACAUAUUAACUCGACCAGAGUCUAUAUUGUAACAACUAGCGUUAAAGUCACCUCCUACAAUAACAUCCCCUAUGGAAGAAAAAUGUGCUACAAGAUCUUCAAGUAAACCCAUUUCAGCUGCAUAUGACUGGAUUACAUUAUCUGCAGGAAGGUAUGCACCAAAAAUGUACAAAGGGCGGUCACUGGACCGUUUGAUUUUUAGGCCAAUAAUACGUGAUGAAUCAAUGUCUGUUAAUUCACAUAUAGACAGUUUGAGUUCCUUUUUAUACAGAAUGCCAACACCACCCUUACCUAAGUAGCGCGAGAAUUGUGUGCAAAAUCUGUUCUUUUCAGAACUACAUGUAUGUUCUGUGCGUACAAAACUGAGAUAGUUAGGGUGGAUUGAAUCCAUAAAGGAAA